rnacentral:rRNA from 1 species
GUUUGCCUACGGGGCGCAGCAGUGAGGAAUAUUGGUCAAUGGUCGGGAGACUGAACCAGCCAAGCCGCGUGAGGGAUGAAGGUACAGAGUAUCGUAAACCUCUUUUGUCAGGGAACAAAGGCGGGGACGUGUCCCCGGAUGAGUGUACCUGAAGAAAAAGCAUCGGCUAACUCCGUGCCAGCAGCCGCGGUAAUACGGAGGAUGCGAGCGUUAUCCGGAUUUUUUGGGUUUAAAGGUGGCGACGGCGGUCUUUUAAGUCAGCGGUCAAAGCCCGGGGCUCAACCCCGGCCCGCCGUUGAAACUGG